rnacentral:rRNA from 1 species
GACGAACGCUGGCGGCGUGCUUAGCACAUGCAAGUCGAACGGAAAGGCCCUGCUUUUGUGGGGUGCUCGAGUGGCGAACGGGUGAGUAACACGUGAGUAACCUGCCCUUGACUUUGGGAUAACUUCAGGAAACUGGGGCUAAUACCGGAUAGGAGCUCCUGCUGCAUGGUGGGGGUUGGAAAGUUUCGGCGGUUGGGGAUGGACUCGCGGCUUAUCAGCUUGUUGGUGGGGUAGUGGCUUACCAAGGCUUUGACGGGUAGCCGGCCUGAGAGGGUGACCGGCCACAUUGGGACUGAGAUACGGCCCAGACUCCUACGGGUGGCAGCAGUGGGGAAUAUUGCACAAUGGGCGGAAGCCUGAUGCAGCAACGCCGCGUGCGGGAUGACGGCCUUCGGGUUGUAAACCGCUUUCGCCUGUGACGAAGCGUGAGUGACGGUAAUGGGUAAAGAAGCACCGGCUAACUACGUG